UACGUAGGGGGCAAGCGUUGUCCGGAAUCAUUGGGCGUAAAGAGCGUGUAGGCGGCCCGGUAAGUCCGCUGUGAAAGUCCAGGGCUCAACCCUUGAAUGCCGGUGGAAACUGUCGGGCUAGAGUCCGGAAGAGGCGAGUGGAAUUCCUGGUGUAGCGGUGAAAUGCGUAGAUAUCAGGAGGAACACCGGUGGCGAAGGCGGCUUUCUGGACAGUAACUGACGCUGAGGCGCGAAAGCUAGGGGAGCAAACAGG
rnacentral:rRNA from 1 species